CCCUAUUCAAAAUUUAAUCCCUUUUCUCUUUCUCCGCUGUUCACAAAUCAAAGAAGAAAUCAGACUUGUAUCUCUCUUCCUCGCCGCCGCCGAUCUCUCCUCUCACUGCGGCCGGCCAUGGAGUUUCCGGUGGGCGAAGCCGGCGGCGCUUCGCGCCUAAUUGCUCCACCACUCUCUCAAUUCGAAUUUCAACAUCCAACUCCAAUUCAAACUCUCUUAAUUCGAAUCUGGAGCCAUAGUCCCGCUAUUCUGCUUUCUCGAUCUCUCAAUGCGGCUCAGUUUUGGCAUAGAUUUGCUACUCUUGCAACACAUAUGGAGCAAUACAUACAAGGACAAUGGAGGGAUCUGGUUGACCGGGCUUACACAAAGUUUUCCUUCUCCGCCAAUGCAAACCGCACUCAAGAUUCCCCUCUCUCCUUGGUUUACCCUAGUGUGCUAGUUUGGGAGAUAGAGCUCAGGUUGAGCAGCUGGUGUUAUAUAUUGUUGAGGAACCCUAGAGGAUACAAAUAGCAAAAGUACCUUCAGGUUUUACUUGGAAAAUGACAUCUCAAGAGCAAAAAGAUGAGUAUUAUCAAGAAUUUCGAGCAAUUUUGGAAGGAAUGGUUCAGGUGCCAACCCUAACUAGAGAAGUUGUUGUAAAGGUACACCCUAGCACACAACAUGGACAGAAGGUUGUUUAGAAGAAAAAAGGGAGCUACUGCUGCUGAAUGUGGAGCAAGUUCAUGAUUCUCUGGCCUCAAUUGUAGUCUACAAGCAAUCUAAGGGGAUAAUGUCGACUCAAAUGGAGCUGAGCAAGGGGCAAGCUUUGAUGAAGGAAAAUCUGGCACAGGGAAUGGCGUUGCUUCAGAGCUAGUACGCGAAUCUUGGAGACAAAAUUAUCAGCUGUGGUAAAUGACUGUCUUGCAGAGUAAAGCAGCCGAUAUAGGGAAUAUGGUUGAGACGUCGUUGGAUUAAAAAAAAUAGUUUUUGAAUGGGCAGUUUGUAGCUCUCGUUGUAUUUUGUUUUGAACAUCAUACAACUAUACAUUUCAUACUGUUGUUACUUGUUUUAACAACCAACAUUUAUGCCUAUUCAUUAUAAUUUUUGGAUUAAA